rnacentral:rRNA from 1 species
GCCGGUGAUGAGGUGUGGAUAGCGGAGAAAUUCCAAUCGAACUCGGAUAUAGCUGGUUCUCUCCGAAAUAGCUUUAGGGCUAGCCUCGUGAAAGAUUACUGGAGGUAAAGCACUGAAUGGGCUAGGGGUCGAAAGAUUACUGAACCCUAUCAAACUAAGAAUGCCAGAUAAUUGAUUCACGGGAGUCAGACAAUGUGAGAUAAGUCUCAUUGUCAAAAGGGAAACAGCCCAGACCCACAGCUAAGGUCCCUAAACAUUGUUAAGUGGAAAAGGAUGUGGGGUUGCAUAAACAACCAGGAUGUUGGCUUAGAAGCAGCCACUCAUUAAAAGAGUGCGUAAUAGCUCACUGGUCGAGUGACCCUGCGCCGAAAAUUCAACGGGGCUAAACAAUGUACCGAAGCUUGGGAUUCUAAAGUAAUUUAGAGUGGUAGGAGAGCGUCGAAUAAGGGGUGAAGUCAGAGCGGAAGCGCUGGUGGACUUUAUUCGAGUGAGAAUGCCGGAAUGAGUAGCGAGAAUUAUGUGAGAAUCAUAAUGGCCGAAAAUCUAAGGUUUCCUGAGGAAGGUUCGUCCGCUCAGGGUAAGCCGGGGGCUAAGGCGAGGCGGAGACGCGUAGCCGAUGCACAUACGGUUGAAAUUCCGUAGCCACCGAAAGAUUUAAGUACAGGGACGCUUUAGAAGUGAUGUAGCCGGGCGAUGGUUGACCCGGUCGUAAGGGAUCGAAAAUGAGUAGAGAAGUCAUCAUGGAAAGAGACAAGAAAAGCUGUAUGAAUAUCUUAGGUGCCCGUACCGCAAACCGACACAGGUAGAUAGGAAGAAGAUUCUAAGGCCAACGGGAGAAGGGUUGUUAAGGAACUCGGCAAGUUGACCCCGUAACUUAGGGAUAAGGGGUGCUCAAGUGAUUGAGCCGCAGAGAAUAGGCCCAGGCGACUGUUUAGCAAAAACACAGGUCUCUGCUAAAUCGAAAGAUGACGUAUAGGGGCUGACACCUGCCCGGUGCCGGAAGGUUAAGAGGAGAUGUGAGAGCAUUGAAUUGAAGCCCCGGUAAACGGCGGCCGUAACUAUAACGGUCCUAAGGUAGCGAAAUUCCUUGUCAGGUAAGUUCUGACCCGCACGAAAGGUGUAACGAUCUGGGCACUGUCUCAACAACCCGCCCGGCGAAAUUGUAGUACCGGUGAAGAUGCCGGUUACCCGCGACUAGACGGAAAGACCCCAUGGAGCUUUACUGUAGCCUAAUAUUGGAUUUCGGUAUUUCACGUACAGGAUAGGUGGGAGACUGGGAAGCACAGGCGUCAGCUUGUGUGGAGUCGACCUUGGGAUACCACUCUUGGAGUGCUGGAAUUCUAACCUGCGGCUUUGAAGCAAGUCGGGGGACAUUGUUAGGUGGGCAGUUUGACUGGGGCGGUCGCCUCCUAAAGAGUA